CCUACGGGAGACAGCAGUGAGGAAUAUUGGUCAAUGGGCGAGAGCCUGAACCAGCCAAGUCGCGUGCGGGAGUACUGCCCUAUGGGUUGUAAACCUCUUUUGUCGGGGAGCAAAAGCCGGACGUGUCCGGCUGUGAGAGUACCCGAAGAAAAAGCAUCGGCUAACUCCGUGCCCGCAGCCGCGGUAAUACGGAGGAUUCGAGCGUUAUCCGGAUUUAUUGGGUUUAAAGGGUGCGCAGGCGGAUUUUUAAGUCAGCGGUAAAAUCGUGGGGCUCAACCCCGUCCAGCCGGUGAAACUGGCAGACUGGAGUGUGGGAGAGGAUAGUGGAAUUCAAGGUGUAGGGGUGAAAUGCGUAGAUAUCUGGAAGAACAUCAAUGGCGAAGGCGACUAUCUGGCACAUAACUGACGCUGAGGAGCGAAAGCGUGGGUAGCAAACAGGAUUAGAUACCCCUGUAGUC
rnacentral:rRNA from 1 species